rnacentral:rRNA from 1 species
UACGUAGGGGGCAAGCGUUGUCCGGAUUUACUGGGCGUAAAGAGCGCGCAGGCGGUCGGGUAAGUGGGGUGUGAAAGCCCCCGGCUCAACUGGGGAGGGUCACGCGAUACUGAUCGACUCGAAGGCAGGAGAGGGAAGCGGAAUUCCCGGUGUAGUGGUGAAAUGCGUAGAUAUCGGGAGGAACACCAGUGGCGAAGGCGGCUUCCUGGCCUGUUCUUGACGCUGAGGCGCGAAAGCUAGGGGAGCAAACGGG